AUUGAACGCUAGCGGCAUGCUUUACACAUGCAAGUCGAACGGUAACAGGGUGCUUGCACCGCUGACGAGUGGCGAACGGGUGAGUAAUGCGUCGGAACGUGCCGAGUAGUGGGGGAUAACGCAGCGAAAGUUGUGCUAAUACCGCAUACGUACUGAGGUAGAAAGUGGGGGACCUUCGGGCCUCACGCUAUUCGAGCGGCCGACGUCUGAUUAGCUAGUAGGUGAGGUAAAGGCUCACCUAGGUGACGAUCAGUAGCGGGUCUGAGAGGAUGAUCCGCCACACUGGGACUGAGACACGGCCCAGACUCCUACGGGAGGCAGCAGUGGGGAAUUUUGGACAAUGGGCGAAAGCCUGAUCCAGCCAUGCCGCGUGUCUGAAGAAGGCCUUCGGGUUGUAAAGGACUUUUGUCAGGGAGGAAAUCCCUAGUGCUAAUAACACUGGGGGAUGACAGUACCUGAAGAAUAAGCACCGGCUAACUACGUGCCAGCAGCCGCGGUAACAC
rnacentral:rRNA from 1 species